UCAUUGCAACGCUCAUAUACUACUCAAAUGUUGGUACAUAACCAUCAUGGUACCAUUUCACCUCAGCUUGAUAGUUGGUCACCAGUCCAAUGAACUAAUUAUGCGACCAAUGUUAAAACAUGAACAGAUAUAAAUACAAGAAGCAUU